AAUAGCUGAAAUCAAUGUAACGGCCGACAGAUUCACUGUAUAUGAUGAUGUUCUUGAUGGGAGAUUCAGAGACAGACUGAAGCUGGACAAUCAAACUGGAUCUCUGACCAUCACAAACAUCACAGAUGAACAUGCUGGAGAUUAUGUGCUAGCGAUAAAUGGAGCAAAACGAUCAUAUAAAGCUUUCAGAGUUUCUGUCUAUGACUCUGUCCACUGUUGUGGCCCAACUGAAGCUGUGAUCUGAUUGGUCCUCUCUGCUCUGGUGGGCGUGGCUACUGUCAUUCUUCUGGUUUAUGACAUCAGAUCCAGAAGAGCUGAACAACAUCAAGCACAUAUUCACACAUCAGAAACCUAAUGGUGUCAUUUCUCACAAACUGAUUUUACAUAUGUACCUUAUGAGAUUUACUUAUUUGUGGCUUUUAUGUGUUCAUCUUUUUCAGGAAGUAUUGAAAUGUAAAGCAAAACCCUGAACUUUAAAGGUUCUUCAAGUGUGUUUUUUGUUCUUCUAGUGUUUUUUUCAUAAUAAAUACUGAUGAUUGUUUAAUCUUGUGCUCUCUCUUUAUUGUUUAUAUUUGCUUGUCUUUAUCAAUAAAGUUUUCUCACUCUGA